AGGAGACCGGCUGGAAGCGCUUCUUUGCACAGUGUGUCCCUUGCAUUUGUGACUGCGCUUUGUCAUGUGCAUCUGCAGCCUGAAGCGUGGUGAAUACACUGUGUGGACUGCACAGUGUCACAUCAGGUGAAGAGGAAAUGCACAGCUUCAACACCACAGAGCCAAACUAUGCUGCUUCAUCCGAUUGUGGGGACAAAUUAGCGGGCCAAAAUCUGGGUGUUUGCAGACAUUCAUUUUAAUCUCUUUGGCACACUGAAGCCAACAAUGUCUCCUCGGUUUCUAUUUACAGGAUGUUACACUAUGAUGAGAAGAUUUCACUGCCUGAGGUUCAAAUCCCUCUCGUCACUGAUGAAUUAUAAGCAAAGCAGAACGGCUCAGUUCAGUCAAUCUGUAUGUUGGAAGGCGGCAGCCGGGUCAGAAAAGAAAAGUGAGGUGAAUUGUACUUGGUUAAAGCUGCCUGAAUGGCCGUGUCAGACGUGGGUUAAAUAAUUGUUUAAAACUUUUAAAAUAAAAAGUUGAACCUGA